rnacentral:lncRNA from 1 species
CUUUGCAUUUAGCUUGGUGGCUUGUCUGUUAGCAAUUGGCUGCUGUAGGUACAGUGAGUAGCAAUGAUGUUGGUUCCCAGGGGCAGAAGGCAGAGGGCCUUUGCAAAUGCCCCUGUCCUGCACUCCCACCUUCCCUGGCAUGCCAAACUAGCAAGGCCAAUUUUGUUUCAACUUGCCAACCACCACAUUCUCUGGGCUUUUUCCUCUUGAGAUCACCAUUUCCUCCAUCAUACUGAAAUAUUUUUAGAUGCAAAAGCAUUGCCCUUUAAAUUCCCCAGAUUCCACUGUUUUGUUUUUACCCAUUGCCCUGAAGUUGUGUUUGAUAUGCCUGUGGCCCCUUCCACUCUACGUGUAUUACAGAUGUUUUUAUUAAAAAAAAAAGAUUUCUCCGUUUUAAUGAGGGUUAUCUGACUCUCGUUUCAGAAAUAGGGCUUCUGUAGCAUUAAUGCAACACUUAUUGGUCACCUCCUGUGUCCCAGCAAUGGCAAAGCCCUGGGAAUAGGUUUGGAUGAAACACUGCCCACAACUUCUGAGACUUGAAUAGCUAACGUUUGCAUUGUGUUGCACAAUUUCAAAGGAUGUUCGCAUGCACUUCCUCCUGUGCUUCGACCUGUGCAACAAUUGGGAGUGAUAAGCAGGGUAGCGGAUAUUGUCUCCAUCCCAAAGGCAAAUGGAGACAGUAGACGGGUUGUUCAAGGUCCGUAGUCAACAGUGUUGCUCACCACUCCAGCCUCCUCUUUAGCCUGCAGACCCGUUGAUCCUCCCUCUGCUGCACGUGUCUGACGGGCAUCUAGCACUUUGAGUGAAAGAAUAAGGGCUGUGGUGGCUCCCAGGGACUAGUUGAGGUGUUAAACAGGAGCCUGUGGCUUGUUUGUUGGAUUGACACCUCCUUCAGGUGGUGAGGUGAGGGCAGCCCAUCCACUCUCAGAAGUUUCCGGAUUCUCGGUUGUGUACUUCUUUGAACUUACACUGUUGAAAAAUAUCAAGGUCAGAACAUGAUUGAAGAACCUUCUUCCUCUCUUUUAAGUCUCUGCGCUUCUAUGAUAUUGUUUUCCACUGAAGAAGUUCUCUUAAAAAUGAGAUUGAGAUCCCUAAAGAAAUUGCUUCAAUCAGC